rnacentral:rRNA from 1 species
GACGAACGCUGGCGGCGUGCCUAAUACAUCCAAGUUGAGCGCUGAAGGUUGGUACUUGUACCGACUGGAUGAGCAGCGAACGGGUGAGUAACGCGUGGGGAAUCUGCCUUUGAGCGGGGGACAACAUUUGGAAACGAAUGCUAAUACCGCAUAAAAACUUUAAACACAAGUUUUAAGUUUGAAAGAUGCAAUUGCAUCACUCAAAGAUGAUCCCGCGUUGUAUUAGCUAGUUGGUGAGGUAAAGGCUCACCAAGGCGAUGAUACAUAGCCGACCUGAGAGGGUGAUCGGCCACAUUGGGACUGAGACACGGCCCAAACUCCUACGGGAGGCAGCAGUAGGGAAUCUUCGGCAAUGGACGAAAGUCUGACCGAGCAACGCCGCGUGAGUGAAGAAGGUUUUCGGAUCGUAAAACUCUGUUGGUAGAGAAGAACGUUGGUGAGAGUGGAAAGCUCAUCAAGUGACGGUAACUACCCAGAAAGGGACGGCUAACUACGUG